UACAGAGGUCUCAAGCGUUUGUUCGGAUUCAUUGGGGCGUAAAGGGUGCGUAGGUGGUGCUGUAAGUCAGGUGUGAAAUCUCGGGGCUCAACCCCGAAACUGCACUUGAUACUGCAGUGCUCGAGGACUGGAGAGGAGAUUGGAAUUCAUGGUGUAGCAGUGAAAUGCGUAGAUAUCAUGAGGAAGACCAGUGGCGAAGGCGGAUCUCUGGACAGUUCCUGACACUGAGGCACGAAGGCCAGGGGAGCAAACGGG
rnacentral:rRNA from 1 species